UCGACGCAGCCUUGCCGAGAGGCCAAACAAUGUGCAGCAUGAAGUCGAGCUGGUAGCGUCGCCGCCGUUUCUACCGUAUCUCACUUUUCUGUACAUACAUACACAGAUGUAUAGAUAAACAACACAUUAGAUGCAAAAGUUUAAUAAUACACGGAAAAAAAACUCGAUUAUUUGAAACUAUUGUUAAUAUUGUCAUCAUUGUAAUCGCAGUGCGAAAAUCGGUUAUUGAUUUCUAUCUUUUUUUUUUCUUUUUUUUUUUUUUUGAACACUUCCGGUAGAACAACGUUUUACAAAGUGCCGCAGCCUCCGCGUUGUUAUAUUCACUUUAUAUAUCUACCUGGUUCGUGAUUGCCGCGCGCGUUCACGUGUUCCUGCUGCAUUUGUUGUCGUUGUUGUUACUGAAGCGAACCGUUGAUAAAGUUGCGUGUAUUGACUUGCUAGUAAAUCGAUUCGCGUGCCUUAACGUUGCUUUGCAAUAUCAGCAACAAGAACAACAAACAAAACGGACUAUAUUCCUUCCUGAGUGUGACUGCAGUUGUUUUUCUCGCGUUACCGUUUUGAGUGUAGUAUAGAAUAAUAUUAACUCCCGUAGUAUUGUCGAUAAUUUUUGCACCCUUUUGCUUUCAUUCGACUGUUUUAUUUUUAUUUCAUAUUUUUUUACGUACCGUUUGCCAGUAUAUUUGUUGUUCGGUUGUGGUGUCGGUUGUACUAGAAAAAAUAAGAUAAGAAGGGUCGUGCCUUGGCUAGAUAAAUCGCUGUAGUAGAUAUCUACCGCCAUCCCUUGCACACAUAUAGAGACAAGUUUGAAGGUGCCGAGUGAGCGCGUGCCGGUUUCUACGUACAGCGAUAUCAGCCUUGUUAAGGGAAGAUUGACGGUAUUAAGAAUUAGCCAGGCAUCGAUCCUGAGUAGUGACGGCGCGAGGGUUCCGUCGAUUCGAAUUGCAUGGAUUUUGUAUUGUAAUCGCGCCGCGCCGAGACGCCAUGGACGUCCAUGCCGGAGGGUGCAGCAGCUCGUCGACGACCGGCGAAGAGACACUCCGCGGCGUCGCGACGCCUUCCCCGGCACCGGCGUGCACCGCGACGCCGACCCCCGCGUCCGUCGCCGCGACGAGCGCGUCGGUAUCAAUCAACAAUGCGGUGUCCAGCCCGUCGGUGCAAUCCCAGCUGCCCCAGUCCAGCACCCACCAGUCAGCAUCGGGGCCGAGGAUACUGAGCAGAAAUGUAAACGGCACUCUCGUGCAGACUUCCGUGCCGCAGAACGAGGCCGAACUUCAGUUGUACCGCGUCAUGCAGCGUGCUUCUCUCCUUGGAUACUACGACACACUGUUAGAGAUGGGAGGUGAUGACGUCCAGCAAUUGUGCGAUGCUGGAGAAGAAGAAUUUCUAGAAAUUAUGGCACUUGUGGGGAUGGCCAGCAAGCCACUUCACGUCAGAAGACUGCAGAAGGCUCUCCAAGAGUGGCUGACCAAUCCCUCAAUGUUUCAAACGCCGGUAAUACCCUCGAAUCCUAACAGCAAAUCUAAUAUACCGAUGACUUUUCCGUGCAUAAGUCCGAGAGCGCAGUUCCCUGCCCAUAGUCAAACGCAAUCCUCGUACAACGGGCCGCUUUUACCACUCACACCUUUGCCGUGUCGAAGCUCCAGUCCGGUUGUUCAACCUCCCAGUGCCAACACGUCGACGGCUUCUACGACCUUUCGACACACACCGAGCCCGAGUGCUUCCGUAUCAUAUCCGAGUGCCCAAAGUCCCGGGGUCUUACAGGUAGGAACUUGCGAGUCCUCUUGUGGAAGCGGCACGACGUCGAGUCCUGGGGGUGCGAGUGGUGCUCCCGGUAGUCCAACUCAGCCCGUUCCCGCGCUUCUCCAAUCCCAGGUUCAACGAUUGUCGGAUGCAGCUGAACGACUGGCAGUUAGUUUGCCACCGCUCGACCCGAAGCCACACAACAUCAAGAAGAAGAUCUGUAAAAACCUCGAGAUGGUAAUGGCGAUGUCGGAAAAUGACCCUCGUCGUAUGGAUGAAAUCCGAAAAUACGCGGCGAUAUACGGAAGGUUCGAUUGCAAGCGUAAACCGGAGAAACCUUUGACGCUACACGAAGUUUCGGUCAACGAGGCAGCAGCCCAGAUCUGCAAAUUUGUACCUGCGCUUCUCACAAGAAGAGACGAACUUUUUCCACUCGCCCGUCAAGUCGUUAGGGAUUCUGGAUACCAUUACUCAAAGAGUCAAUACAUCUCGAUGAUGAGACCGCGAGAGAACGGCGAGGACGCGGGUGACGGUGACAGGGUGAAACGGUAUCGUCUCGAUCUAGAGGGUGAGAGUGAGGAUUCCACGCAGGUUUACACGCUAAGGGUAGACGGAAAAAAUCGAACCACGUCCUGCAUUUUAACGCCGCCGAAGGCGGAACAACAACAGGAAAGCAGCUGUAACAAGUACGGAAAUGGGAUUUACGGAUUCCGUGAUAAUUUACGUCAGUCUUGGCUCGUUGACGAGUGAAAAACCUGGAAUAGCAAGACACGUGGACGCAACUGGGAUGCGGCAAUGCUUUCCCGCAGAAUGAUAGUAAAAGUAAUGAUCGCGAGGAACGUCCGUCUCGGGCAUAAGGAAUCUUAUUAGAGGAUUAACCGUUUUCUGGGCGAAUCGUACACAGAAUACAUGCUGAUCAUGUCUUAACGCAGCCUCAAGAUACGCACAAGGAUCGUCGAAAACAGAAUUCAGUCGUGCCUGAUACCUCUCAGGUGAAGCCAGAAUUUCAAAUUCUACGUAGAGUCCAGAAUUCUACCUGAGAAUGUGUCAGCGAUUGGAUUGCCCCGCAAACCGCCUUUGCAAGUCAUGCAAUCCCAAUUCUUAGCAACUCAUGGAUCGGCGAGGCUUCGGGUUUUUGGAUAGUGAUACUCAAACAACAGUGGGUAAGACCCGCAAUAUAAUUGUCCGUAUCACGGGACCAUAAAUAUAACGGCAAAAUCACAGCGCACUCCAGUUAUAAUGUCACAAUUUGAUUGCCACAGAUAAUUGUGUUUACCACUUGAAGAAGAACUACCGGGCCUAGACGUUCUGCAUCAUGUACCUCUUCGAACAAGUAAUUACGGACAAUUUAAUGUAGUUUUACACACGAAUGAUUUUAUCUCUCUAUUUACGCUAUGUAAAACGAAUAACCAACGAUGUCACCGUCUUCGGUAUUUCAAUUUCAGAUCUUUUUCUCUCAAUUUCAAAUCCAGCUGCACGGCAACGUUUCACAAUGGUCAUUCGACAAAACAAACCAUUCGAAUAUGACUACGGUAGCAAAAAUUCGAGGAAAGUUUUACGUGAAUUGAGAACUGACUUUUCAUCUAUAGUCUGUAGUUAUUCAACGUAAGCGAAGAGGUUCAUCUAUUGAUUCGACAUCACGCUUUACAAUUAACCGAUAUUGACUUUAUUUUUAUAUCUGACGAUAGUACUCAUGUUUUCAUGUGACAUGAAAAUACUCGAUUUUGAAUUAUAAAUAUUUAAAAUGUGCAUCAUUUUGUCGAUCAUAUUAAAUCCGUUUUGUUACUAUAAUCUUGUUAUUGUUACCAUUGCUGUAACUGUUGAAAUAAUAUAUCAGUUGCAUAAACAACAAUAACUUGUUUGUUAU
rnacentral:misc_RNA from 1 species